GGGGAUUUAGCUCAGUGGCAUGAGUGCCUGCUUUGCAAGCAGGUAGUCUUGAGUUCAAUCCCUG
rfam:Cavia porcellus supercont2_35 genomic scaffold, whole genome shotgun sequence.